rnacentral:pre_miRNA from 1 species
UUCGUACUCCCUCCGUUCCAAAUUACUUGUCUUAGAUUUGUCUAGAUACGGAGGUAUCUAGCACUAAAAUGAGUCUAGAUACAUCCGUAUCUAGACAAAUCCAAGACAAGUAAUUCGGAACGGAGGGAGUACAAA